CUGCAAGCUCAAGUGCAGAGGGUGGAUAAAGGUAGUGGGGCUUUCCAGCGCAGAGGGCAGAAAAAAUAGUUACAGAGGGGGUUAAGAGUGAGUGACGUCAAAAGAUACAGAAAGGAAAGAAAAAAAAAUGAUUCCCCUUACUGCAGCGGAUGAACUGAGACACCCCACAAAAAGACAAAGCAAGCAAGCGUGACAGACAGAAAGAAAGAAAAGAGAAGAAGACAACUGACGCAAUAGCUCGGGUCAGCAUGACCGAAUAAUCAUCAAUUCCUUGGCAACUUACAUGACCGGAUCAAGACAUCACUUCCAUAAUUGGUGUUAAGGGGUGUACAAGUCAACAGACUUCAUAUGACCACACAAAACUGUUCAAACUGAAAGGACCAAAUCGAGAAAACACUGAACGUAGCCAAGAUGGGAGAUGUGAAAUGCAGCACAUGUCCAAAAGGAAAAUAUAUGUUUGCCAACUGCAAUGCCACAUUGGAUACAGUGUGUAAAACCUGCCCACGGCGUACAUUUAUUGAUGAGGAAAACAAACUGAGCCAGUGUCGAGCCUGCAGGGAGUGCUCCAGCACCAGCAACAUGGAGAUGGUAAAGGAGUGUGAGGAAGACAAAAACACGCAGUGCAGGUGUAAGCCAGGAUACUACUGUACACACAUAAGUGAAUCCCACUGCGAUAACUGCAGUCCGGUCUCCACGUGUCCUCCAGGGCAAGGAGUUGCCAUUCGUCACACGUUCCAGAAAAACACUGUGUGCAGUCCCUGCCCAGAGGGAACCUACAGUGAUGUGGACGACUACGUUUCCAGCUGCAAAAAUUAUACAAGUUGUGAUGAUCUGGGUCGACAUCUGAAGGUUCCUGGGACCAGCCAAUCAGAUGUUGUGUGUGGACAAUUUAAAGCAUCUUGUUCUUGGAUGUUGCCUGCUAGUCUGUGGGCAGGGAUCGUGAUUACUGCCGUGAUUAUAUUUCUGAUCCUGUUUAUAGUUUAUUGGAGAAACAAACGUCAGUCAAAAAGAUUAGAGAUUUCUUUAAGCCACAUCUCGCCAGUGUUUCCUCCAGACAUCCUAAAAUACCCUGCAGACUGUGAUGUGGAGAAGAAUGCAGAACAUCAGCAGCUCACACAUUUAGGUAAACUGUAUGACUAUAAAUGUGUAAAUGUAGGCCAGGUCUAUUUCUCAGCUUCAGUCAGUCCUGUUUUGAUUCAGUUCAAUUCAAUAACUGUGUAAAGUUCAUCAAUUAUGGAACAAGUUCAGUUCAGCUCAACUUAAAACAGUAAUGUUGUUAUUCAGCUCAAUGCUGAUUCAGUUCAAUCAGUGUUGCUUCUGAAAGCACGUCUAAUAUUUCUAAAGCUGUGACCUGGAAAUCUUUCAGAUAACUUUACACAGCAUUCUAGAAUCUCACCAAACAUUCCCACAGUACACAUUUAAUACAGUCAGGAGAGUUUUGAAAUAAGCAAUGCCGUAUUUUGUAAUGACUUCAACUAUUGCUUUGUGUCACUGUGUAAAUCAUUACAAAGUUUCCUUUGACCUGUUAUCAACUCGCAAACGAAGGGUACAAACCACAUAUAUGUUGUCUUUCAUUGCAUGCCAAUUAACCAAAUAGGUUUAGCUGUUUUGGCCUCCCACACUUUCCUCCAGCAGUUAAUUUGCCGUGGGCGAUAAAGUCUCUGAUGUCUCUGCCAAACAUGGGUCUGAAUCGCAUACUGUUGUAAAACCAGUCAUAUCGUGAAAACAGUUGGAAAGUACCCAGACAUGGACAGCAGCAUACAGUGUGAUGGAUUUUUGCCAACGCUGACAGUGUCAGAGAAAUACAGGCCCUCAGCUGCCGCAAAUGGAUAUACAGACAGCAUCACAUGCCACUCGAACUAUCAGUCGG